rnacentral:lncRNA from 1 species
AUGAGAUGAGGAACUGCCCGAGGGCGGGCUGGGAGGACGACUGGACUAUAUAAAAAAAAGAUUAAAUAUAUAUAUAUAUAUAUUUUAAAGUGGCUCAGAAGUGAGAGACUAAGAGAGCAACAGUAGUGACUCAUGACUGCUGUGAUCUGGAUUGAGCUUGUGCUCACAGUUACUAAUUUUCCCCUCAGUUGAAGAUAUGCCUACUUAGGGAUAGUUACGAUACAUAAUAGCUGACAAAAGAAAUAGAGGGUGAAAUUGAAAAGCGCUCUUUUUCUAGACCCUGUUCGCGUAGUUCACGGAUCACAAAGCUGUCUGGAAAACACUGAUUGAAAACGUUCUUCUCUUUAAUUGGACUGUGAAAGAAACCAGGGGGCGGGGGUGUGGUGUGGAGUGGAGGUGGGGCAGCGGGGCUCCAAGAGGAGAGGGCAAGCUGACCAGACCCAUUGUCUGUGGGAUUUAUCCUGGAGUGAUGGAAACCAGUCACCCUAGAGAAGCAGCGAAUGACAAGGAGCAAUGGGGAUGAGGAAUUUAACUCAGUCGAACAGGUUCAAAGGGAGGUGAUAGUCCUCUCCGGGUUCUAUGUGGACAGAGAAAAACGCGUACCAGAGUUGCAGUAAGAGUCUCAGUCCCACCUGUGCGGAAGUCCACGCAAGGACCCACGGAGCUGCAGCAGGCAGUGGAGGACGCUCUGUCAUUGGCUCUUGCUCCCACUGACAACAUCUCCUGCUUCUUUCUCUCUAACCUUUGGUUUAUUCUGAAGGUAAAGAAUAGGUUACAUUUAUCCGGAGAGGAAGAAAAGAAGCUCGACAGUUUACAACUGUCUUAGUUCGGUCAGAGAUGACUAAUCUACAGUGACCUGGUUGGAAUUGUGAUCCCCACAAGCAGGUAAAGAAGAAAGUACAUUAAGUUUAAAUAUUAAAAAUAUUCAACUGACGAAAACAUGAUCCUGUUUGUGCUGACAAUUGUGAUCGGUCAUCGGUACUAAGGCUGACCCUUUUGGCUAAUACCCAUUUACUUACUCGUCUAAUGUUACUGGACUGUUCUUAGUUUCUAAAAACAAAUUAAAAAAAUAACAGUAUAAUAAGUGUUUGAGAACAAAAGAAGAUGACAGACAAUAAUAACCACACCUUUCCAAACUAGUGUUAGCAAUAGGUAAGGAUUCAAUAGCAGAAAAAACCGCCACCACCAGUAUAGGAAUCAGACCUGAGAAG